GUGCGGUUCUUCCCGUAUAAAAGCAGUUUACAAGNCGAAGGCAUUCAUCCUGCACGCGGCAUGGCUGGGUCAGGCUCUCGCCCAUUGCCCAAUAUUCCCUACUGCUGCC
rnacentral:rRNA from 1 species